GCUCACUCCUGAAUGGGACAACAAAUGGCUCAUCCAAUAAACUGUGGUCUGGAUCAAUAGCUUCCUGAGUGCAUCAAUUGGACCAUCAUCCUGCCUGCCUAGGAUGCCUUCCCUCACUCACUCCACUCAAGAUGUAGGUCUUGUGAUGCCAACCACAUCAUCUGGGAACACAUGUUGUGCACAAAGAGCACUGGCUCCACUGUCACUUUCCGAAAAUUAAAUCCUCCAGCAGACCCACCGGUAGAAGCGGGCUGAGCAGCAGAGUAUACCUGGUCUAUAUCAGCCAUGUUAGACUAAGGACCAACUGGCAGUACUUCACCUUCAAAGACCGACAACCAUACUGAUCCAGACAGUCAAGAAAAUAUGUAAUGGCAAGGACUGCCACUAUCAGGUGUGUAUGGGAGAACGCCGAUCCAAAGGCUACACCGACAGCAAGUGCUGGGUGACUCCCAACUCAAGCUCAAGCUCAAGCUCAAGGUCCAACGAAAGAUCUCUAAAAAAAAAAAAAAAAAGCGCCAAAACACACAAAAAUGUCGAGAUGGAAAGCACAGCCAAACUACAUUAUGUUACAAUUUCUGAAUACGAAAAAUUUUCGCUUUUCAGCCAAAUAAAGAAAACAGAUUCAUUGUCGUAUAAAGAUUUCGGUUUUCUAUUUUGGAACCGUUAUUUUUUUCCUUUGAAAAUACGAAUAGACUAAAUUUUAUGGAAUAUUGUUACUUGGGUCAUGUUUUUCAUAUUUUUUAAAUGUUAUAUCAAGCACCAAAACAAUCCUAGGCGUACUAAUAAAAAAAAAAAAGUUAUAUAUUACGCAGUGACAUUAAUGUUACUUUUUCGAUAAACCAAAACAAAGGUAGACUCGAUUCUAUUGUGGAUUGAAACUUGCUUUACUAUGUUGAUAACAAAUCAGAUAUCAGGACAAUGUCAACUCCAUUAAUAAAGGAGAAAUAU